rnacentral:rRNA from 1 species
UACGUAGGGUGCGAGCGUUGUCCGGAAUUAUUGGGCGUAAAGAGCUUGUAGGUGGUUUGUCGCGUCUGCUGUGAAAUCCGAGGCUCAACCUCGGACUUGCAGUGGGUACGGGCAGACUAGAGUGUGGUAGGGGAGACUGGAAUUCCUGGGUGUAGCGGUGGAAUGGCGCAGAUAUACAGGGAGGAACACCGAUGGCGAAGGCAGG